rnacentral:rRNA from 1 species
GUAGGUGGCAAGCGUUGUCCGGAAUUAUUGGGCGUAAAGCGCGCGCAGGCGGUUCUUUAAGUCUGAUGUGAAAGCCCACGGCUCAACCGUGGAGGGUCAUUGGAAACUGGAGAACUUGAGUACAGAAGAGGAAAGCGGAAUUCCCCGUGUAGCGGUGAAAUGCGUAGAGAUGUGGAGGAACACCAGUGGCGAAGGCGGCUUUCUGGUCUGUAACUGACGCUGAGGCGCGAAAGCGUGGGGAGCAAACAGGAUUAGAUACCCUGGUAGUCCACGCCGUAAACGAUGAGUGCUAAGUGUUAGGGGGUUUCCGCCCCCCUUAGUGCUGCAGCUAACGCAUUAAGCACUCCGCCUGGAGUACGGCCGCAAGGCUG